CACGUAGGGCGCGAGCGUUGUCCGGAAUUAUUGGGCGUAAAGAGCUCGUAGGCGGCCUGUUGCGUCCGCUGUGAAAGCCCGGGGCUUAACCCCGGGUCGGCAGUGGAUACGGGGCAGGCUAGAGGUAGGUAGGGGAGAAUGGAAUUCCCGGUGUAGCGGUGAAAUGCGCAGAUAUCGGGAGGAACACCGGUGGCGAAGGCGGUUGCCUGGAGCUUUGCUGACGCUGAGGCGCGAAAGCGUGGGGAGCGAUCCGG
rnacentral:rRNA from 1 species